GACGAACGCUGGCGGCGUGCCUAACACAUGCAAGUCGAACGGAAAGGCCCUGCUUUUGUGGGGUGCUCGAGUGGCGAACGGGUGAGUAACACGUGAAUAACCUGCCCUUGACUUUGGGAUAACUUCAGGAAACUGGGGCUAAUACCGGAUAGGAGCUCCUGCUGCAUGGUGGGGGUUGGAAAGUUUCGGCGGUUGGGGAUGGACUCGCGGCUUAUCAGCUUGUUGGUGGGGUAGUGGCUUACCAAGGCUUUGACGGGUAGCCGGCCUGAGAGGGUGACCGGCCACAUUGGGACUGAGAUACGGCCCAGACUCCUACGGGGGGCAGCAGUGGGGAAUAUUGCACAAUGGGCGGAAGCCUGAUGCAGCAACGCCGCGUGCGGGAUGACGGCCUUCGGGUUGUAAACCGCUUUCGCCUGUGACGAAGCGUGAGUGACGGUAAUGGGUAAAGAAGCACCGGCUAACUACGUG
rnacentral:rRNA from 1 species